UUAGCAGCUAGCCUGAAGGGUUGGGAACCUUUUUUGUUUCAAUACUUCGUUGCUGUUUCUUGUCUUUGCCAUUCGGCCCGAUGAAAAGCUCAAAAUCUGGGAAGGAGGGCAAUCCCAACGGCGGAAAUCCGAAUAAGCCUCCACCUAAAGUCAAAGAAGAAGACGGAGAUGCAGUGGAGGGAAGCACUCUCCAGGGGCGUGGAGAAAACCAACCGCCUUUGACAGGUCUUGAAGGCAGUCUCUGUGGUCUCGUUAUCCAAGAUGCGGCGGAGAAAGACGCUACCCCGAAGACUGUAGACAA